CCUGGCUCGUACGAACGCUGGCGGCGCGCCUAACACAUGCAAGUCGAACGAGAGAGAAGGAGCUUGCUUCUUCGAUCGAGUGGCGAACGGGUGAGUAACGCGUGAGGAACCUGCCUCAAAGAGGGGGACAACAGUUGGAAACGACUGCUAAUACCGCAUAAGCCCACGGGUCGGCAUCGACCUGAGGGAAAAGGAGCAAUCCGCUUUGAGAUGGCCUCGCGUCCGAUUAGCUAGUUGGUGAGGUAACGGCCCACCAAGGCGACGAUCGGUAGCCGGACUGAGAGGUUGAACGGCCACAUUGGGACUGAGACACGGCCCAGACUCCUACGGGAGGCAGCAGUGGGGAAUAUUGCACAAUGGGGAAACCCUGAUGCAGCGACGCCGCGUGGAGGAAGAAGGUCUUCGGAUUGUAAACUCCUGUUGUUGAGGAAGAUAAUGACGGUACUCAACAAGGAAGUGACGGCUAACUACGUGCCAGCAGCCGCGGUAAAACGUAGGUCACAAGCGUUGUCCGGAAUUACUGGGUGUAAAGGGAGCGCAGGCGGGAAGACAAGUUGGAAGUGAAAUCUAUGGGCUCAACCCAUAAACUGCUUUCAAAACUGUUUUUCUUGAGUAGUGCAGAGGUAGGCGGAAUUCCCGGUGUAGCGGUGGAAUGCGUAGAUAUCGGGAGGAACACCAGUGGCGAAGGCGGCCUACUGGGCACCAACUGACGCUGAGGCUCGAAAGUGUGGGUAGCAAACAGGAUUAGAUACCCUGGUAGUCCACACCGUAAACGAUGAUUACUAGGUGUUGGAGGAUUGACCCCUUCAGUGCCGCAGUUAACACAAUAAGUAAUCCACCUGGGGAGUACGACCGCAAGGUUGAAACUCAAAGGAAUUGACGGGGGCCCGCACAAGCAGUGGAGUAUGUGGUUUAAUUCGACGCAACGCGAAGAACCUUACCAAGUCUUGACAUCCCUUGACGAACAUAGAAAUAUGUUUUCUCUUCGGAGCAAGGAGACAGGUGGUGCAUGGUUGUCGUCAGCUCGUGUCGUGAGAUGUUGGGUUAAGUCCCGCAACGAGCGCAACCCUUAUGGUCAGUUACUACGCAAGAGGACUCUGGCCAGACUGUCGUUGACAAAACGGAGGAAGGUGGGGAUGACGUCAAAUCAUCAUGCCCUUUAUGACUUGGGCUACACACGUACUACAAUGGCGUUAAACAAAGAGAAGCGAGACCGCGAGGUGGAGCAAAACUCAGAAACAACGUCCCAGUUCGGACUGCAGGCUGCAACUCGCCUGCACGAAGUCGGAAUUGCUAGUAAUCGUGGAUCAGCAUGCCACGGUGAAUACGUUCCCGGGCCUUGUACACACCGCCCG
rnacentral:rRNA from 1 species